ACGCGCAGGCACGCCGAGGCCGGGCGCAGUGAGGAACACAACAUCCUCUCGCAUUGCUUCAAGUUCCAAACUGUUCGCAGUUCUUUUGUUGGGGUCAGGAAGAACUGAUGCAGCUUAUAACGAAGGACCCCUCCAAAUUUCUCUACAGCCCAGGAGCUACAGGCCGGUUUCCGGCUCUCUUGUUUCUGCAGUUUUAAAACUUUGUCUUGCUUUACAGUGGAAACCAUUCUCUUGGGUAAUUCCUAAAGAUUAUGCACUUGCACACUUUCCACACAAAAAUCAGACUAUCACAUUCCAGCUGCCUGGGCAGAGAAAGAAGUGGCACUGUGAGUUCCGUGUCUGACCUGAUGGAGGUCGUUGCAGUCGUUAUUGGUGGGAUUUUUCCCGUGACAAUCAUUUACUGGAGGGAGAUCACUGUCUCUUUCAGCCGAU